rnacentral:rRNA from 1 species
GCAAGUCGAGCGGAACGAUCCUAGCUUGCUAGGAGGCGUCGAGCGGCGGACGGGUGAGUAAUGCAUAGGAAUCUGCCCGGUAGUGGGGGAUAACCUGGGGAAACCCAGGCUAAUACCGCAUACGCCCUACGGGGGAAAGCAGGGGAUCUUCGGACCUUGCGCUAUCGGAUGAGCCUAUGUCGGAUUAGCUAGUUGGUGAGGUAACGGCUCACCAAGGCUGCGAUCCGUAGCUGGUCUGAGAGGAUGAUCAGCCACAUCGGGACUGAGACACGGCCCGAACUCCUACGGGAGGCAGCAGUGGGGAAUAUUGGACAAUGGGCGAAAGCCUGAUCCAGCCAUGCCGCGUGUGUGAAGAAGGCCUUCGGGUUGUAAAGCACUUUCAGUGAGGAAGAAAGCCUUGAGGUUAAUACCCUCGAGGGAGGACAUCACUCACAGAAGAAGCACCGGCUAACUCCGUGCCAGCAGCCGCGGUAAUACGGAGGGUGCGAGCGUUAAUCGGAAUUACUGGGCGUAAAGCGCGCGUAGGCGGCUUGAUAAGCCGGUUGUGAAAGCCCCGGGCUCAACCUGGGAACGGCAUCCGGAACUGUCAGGCUAGAGUGCAGGAGAGGAAGGUAGAAUUCCCGGUGUAGCGGUGAAAUGCGUAGAGAUCGGGAGGAAUACCAGUGGCGAAGGCGGCCUUCUGGACUGACACUGACGCUGAGGUGCGAAAGCGUGGGUAGCAAACAGGAUUACAUACCCUGGUAGUCCACGCCGUAAACGAUGUCGACUAGCCGUUGGGCUCCUUGAGAGC